rnacentral:rRNA from 1 species
GAUGAACGCUGGCGGCGUGCCUAAUACAUGCAAGUCGAGCGAACAGACGCGGUGCUUGCUCCUCUGCCGUUAGCGGCGGACGUGUGAGUAACACGUGGAGACCCUCCCUAUAAGACUGGGAUAACUUCGGGAAACCAGUGCUAAUACCUGUUAAUAUAUUGAACCGCAUGGUUAAAUAGUGAAAGUCGGUUUUGCUGUCACUUAUAGAUGGAUCCGCGCCGCGUUAGCUAGUUGGUAAGGUAACGGCUUACCAAGGCGACGAUGCGUAGCGGACCUGAGCGGGUGAUCGGCCACACCGGAAUGGAGACACGGUACAGACCACGACGGGAGGCAGCAGUAGGGAAUCGUACGGAAUGGGCGAAAGGCUGACGGAGCAACGCCGCGCGAGGUAUGAAGGGCUGCGGAUCUGAAAACUCUGUUAUUAGUGAAGAAGAAAUGUGUAAGGAACGAUGCACGUCUUGACGGUACCUUAUCAGAAAGCCACGGCUAACUACGUG